rnacentral:rRNA from 1 species
AUGUACAUUCCUACAACGUUAAUGCAAUGUAUCCCAUCAGAAAUCUGUAGUUAAGCGCACUUGGGCUAGAGUAGUACUAGUAUGGGUGAUCUCCCAAGAAGUCCUAGAGUUUUCCAUG